rnacentral:rRNA from 1 species
GCAGAGACCGGCGCACGGGUGCGUAACGCGUAUGCAAUCUACCUUUUACAGAGGGAUAGCCCAGAGAAAUUUGGAUUAAUACCUCAUAGCAUAGCAACUUCGCAUGAAGUCACUAUUAAAGUCACAACGGUAAAAGAUGAGCAUGCGUCCCAUUAGCUAGUUGGUAAGGUAACGGCUUACCAAGGCUACGAUGGGUAGGGGUCCUGAGAGGGAGAUCCCCCACACUGGUACUGAGACACGGACCAGACUCCUACGGGAGGCAGCAGUGAGGAAUAUUGGACAAUGGGCGCAAGCCUGAUCCAGCCAUGCCGCGUGCAGGAUGACGGUCCUAUGGAUUGUAAACUGCUUUUAUACAGGAAGAAACCCUGGUUCGUGAACCAGCUUGACGGUACUGUAAGAAUAAGGAUCGGCUAACUCCGUGCCAGCAGCCGCGGUAAUACGGAGGAUCCAAGCGUUAUCCGGAAUCAUUGGGUUUAAAGGGUCCGUAGGCGGUUUAGUAAGUCAGUGGUGAAAGCCCAUCGCUCAACGGUGGAACGGCCAUUGAUACUGCUAAACUUGAAUUAUUAGGAAGUAACUAGAAUAUGUAGUGUAGCGGUGAAAUGCUUAGAGAUUACAUGGAAUACCAAUUGCGAAGGCAGGUUACUACUAAUUGAUUGACGCUGAUGGACGAAAGCGUGGGUAGCGAACAGGAUUAGAUACCCUGGUAGUCCACGCCGUAAACGAUGGAUACUAGCUGUUGGGAGCAAUCUCAGUGGCUAAGCGAAAGUGAUAAGUAUCCCACCUGGGGAGUACGUUCGCAAGAAUGAAACUCAAAGGAAUUGACGGGGGCCCGCACAAGCGGUGGAGCAUGUGGUUUAAUUCGAUGAUACGCGAGGAACCUUACCAAGGCUUAAAUGUAGUUUGACCGAUUUGGAAACAGAUUUUUCGCAAGACAAAUUACAAGGUGCUGCAUGGUUGUCGUCAGCUCGUGCCGUGAGGUGUCAGGUUAAGUCCUAUAACGAGCGCAACCCCUGUUGUUAGUUGCCAGCGAGUCAUGUCGGGACUCUAACAAGACUGCCAGUGCAACUGUUGAGGAAAGGGGGGGGAUGAACGUCAAAUCAUCACGGCCCUUACGCCUUGGGCUACAACCUGGCUACAUGGCCGGUUACA